rnacentral:rRNA from 1 species
CCUACGGGGGGCAGCAGUGAGGAAUAUUGGUCAAUGGACGAGAGUCUGAACCAGCCAAGUAGCGUGAAGGAUGACUGCCCUAUGGGUUGUAAACUUCUUUUAUAAAGGAAUAAAACGAGGCACGCGUGCCCGGAGGGAGAGUACCCGCAGAAUAAGCAUCGGCUAACUCCGUGCCAGCAGCCGCGGUAAUACGGAGGAUGCGAGCGUUAUCCGGAUUUAGUGGGUUUAAAGGGUGCGUAGGCGGAUUUUUAAGUCAGCGGUAAAAUGUCCGGGCUCAACCCGGGCCGGCCGUUGAAACUGGGGAUCUUGAGUGGGCGAGAAGUAUGCGGAAUGCGUGGUGUAGCGGUGAAAUGCAUAGAUAUCACGCAGAACUCCGAUUGCGAAGGCAGCAUACCGGCGCCCGACUGACGCUGAGGCACGAAAGCGUGGGGAUCGAACAGGAUUAGAUACCCGAGUAGUC